GGAGAUGUAGCGGUUAGAACAAGCGCCAAAGCUCUGUUUGCCCGGGUUCAACUCCUGGCAUCUCCA
rfam:Selaginella moellendorffii unplaced genomic scaffold SELMOscaffold_49, whole genome shotgun sequence.